GUUUUAAUACGUUGAGAGGAAUGGAGAAAAAGAAAGCGCGAGACAGACAGAGAUAAAGGAGAGAUAAAGACAGAGAGAGAGAGAGUCAGAAGAAGAGAGACAAGAGAAAAAAGUGAAAGAACGAGGACUGCGACGAAGAAUGUUUUCUUUUUCUUUUCAAUCUUCACUUCGUCGAACAAUCGUUCUAUCAAUCAUCGAAAGAAAAAGAAAAUAUAUGAUAUAUGAUACAUUUCUUUCGUCGAUCGCUGCACGAACAUCCUCGUAUUUUUAUUCGUUUCAAAUUCCUGGCUAUAUUUCCACGGUGCUUCUUCGACGAUUUGUUCGUUUUCACGUUUCUUCGUUUUCCGUUUCGAGAAAGUGCAAAGAACUUCCUUGGCAAGUCUUCCGGUAAUAACCGUGUCUCAAAUCGGUCGACUUUUGUCUAUUUGUAUUUCCUAACGUACUUUCUUACUCUUCUUUUCUUUCUUUUUUUUUUUUUUUUUUGUUUCUUCUCUUUUCGGCUACUGUUUUCCCUUUACUUUAGUUCUUCGUUGAAUUUCCUUGUCACUUGCUUCUAAUCGAGCAAGCUCGUACUCGCUUCAUUAAGUACCUAAUAAUGAGUGGCACGAUUAAUUUGUACAAAUUGCCUAAAGGAUGGCGCGCGUAUUGAAAAACUUCAGGACUAACUUUUAUUUACUUUAUUCGAGCAUUUUUCCCUUUCUUAAG
rnacentral:misc_RNA from 1 species